UAAAUUUAUAAUAUAUAUUUUAUUUAUAUAUAUUUAAAAAUUUAUUUUUAUUAAAUAAAAUGUGAAACGAAGUGAAUUACGUCAACGGCAACCAGGAAUAGAACUUAAAAAGACGUAAAUACAUGUAAUUCAUAUAAACGGUCACGAAUGUGUUAAUAUUCAUAUGAACAUGGUACUAUCGAACAUUUUUUAAUACACGAAGAAUUUAAUAUUUGCUAUUAUUAUUAUUAUUAUUAUUAUUAUUAUUAUUAUUAUUAUUCACGAGCGUUAUUUGUGUUGCUCCAAUGAAUAUGCACGCGUAAGUGCGCGAAUCAAUAUCACACGUAAAACAUAUUCAUUUGAUGUGUAUUUUUUCUGCAUGAAAUGAUUAUAUUUGUAAAUCGAUGUUUUGUGUAGUUAUAGUUAUUGGAAAACGAUCCCACUAGUGCAGUAUUUUUCGAUCAAUGUGGAUUAUGUGCGAAGACAUUCGUUUCUUGAGACGUUUCAUGGAUCACAACUGGCUAAAUGGAAGAUGGGAAAUGACAAUGUACACUGCCAAGCUUUUCAUCAACCCUCGAUUGACCUCUACUUUAAGAGCUUAUACCUUCUACUUUGAGGAGGAUUGACAUGGGAAUCGUGAAAACACUGCACUAGUGAAACUCUCCAUUUUACGCUGAUAGCACUGCAGGUAUAAGCAGAUCCACUUGAGAUUUACUUUAUUGGAGAAGUGUGUUACAUCCCGCAGAUCAUCCACGCUAUCUACGCCUAAGAUUGGCUCUGAGGGACUUGGUUAGAGGGAGUGUGUGUGAGAAGUAAGCGUGGGUUACGAGUGCGAUUAAAAGGUUAGAGAGGGAUUUCGAAGAGACGGAAAUCUAGUUUUAGAAUGAGAGGAAAGAGUAGGCGGAGAGGUACCAGUGGGUGUGUAGUUAGAGUAUAGCGUGGGCGAGGAAGAAGAAAAGCGGUUAAACAGGUUAGGAAACGAGUACGGGAAAUGGCAGGAGGGCGAGACGCUGAUGCGAAAGGGAGAAAGGAGAACGAAGUCAGCAAAACUGGAACCGACACAGAAGAAGAAG